UGCAACAAAGGAGGGAGCGAAGAAGAGUCAGUGGCGCCACCUGGAGCUCACCUGUUCGGUGUCGGGUGCAAACAGAAUAAAAAAUACCAAAUGUAAAGAAAAAGAAAUAAAACCAAGCUGCAAACAGGAGAGUAUGAAUAAAAGCAACCGUAGCUUCUUUGUAGUUCUGAAGCUAACAGCUUGUUUAAGAACCGCGGCCACAGCUUCAGCUUCCACUUUCACAGGAAGGAGCCGCUCAGAGAUGGAAGAUAUCACAACAGGAAGUUCCACAAUGUUCUAUGUGAGUUGACCUCUUCUCAGUGGAGAGUCGAGUCAGAGCAGCGAUGGAUGGAGCCUCGCGGCCUCGGUUCUCAUCCUGACGUUCAGCUCACAGCAGCAGAAGGACAUGUUACAUGCCUCAGACACGGGAUGACAUCAUGCUGCCCUGUGGACACCCGGUGGCUGACCGGUAGGAAUGUGGCGCCACCAUGUGGACCUUCUUGGCCCCUUGGACAGAAGCAGGACGUGGUUCUGGACUCCGGGUGAACCAGUGCUCUGGUCAUAGAGAAGGUGGCGGCUGAGGACGCGGGUCAGUGCGACUGCAGUCGGGCCGACCAGUCGGGCCGACAGCGGGGACGGGUCACAGGGGACGACCCGUCUGUCGUUGGCCUUGAGUGUUUAAUCCAGAUGUUUCAGCUCCAGAAACCCUGUUAAGAUGCUCCUCUCCACCAGUGUGGACGUUUCCUCUGUGAAGUGGCUGCAUCAAGGACCUCAGAGUGACUGAGUCUAAGCGUGACGGACGUGGACACGUCUUUUUCCUGCAGCGAGACAAAGCAGCAUAGUGUCAGGAAAUGUGGAGGAGGUCAGAGGUCAAGAGUACAGCAGGCUGCUGUGGUUCGAAGCUGAAGUUUUAUGUCAUGGCUCUGUUCUGUUCAAACACCUGAAGCCAGAACUUAGGAACGUUUUCACAUUCUCCGUCUCUGCUGAGGUCCAUCGACGUGUGUUUAUUCGCUCAGAUCGUAUCUGCUGCUGCAGCCAAGAUGUGGGCGAGAGCUAAAGAAUCAGAGGCAGACGGAGGAAAAUGCACUUGAUGCUUCUGCUCUGAGCUGCUUUGUUGACACCUCAGAUCGAUGGUUCACCACAGGCUCAUGAAGACGAGGAUGGAGGCGCGUGAAAACGCUGCUGCGUCCCUCUGACUCGCUGCUUCGUGUUGAAGCCGCCUUGUGACGAGAGGUCGUGUGGCCUCAGAUCAGCUGCUGCCUCAGCGCUUCCUUUUACGUCAGCGCAGCUGCUGAAGUUACUUCCACCUCAGAUGAAGCCGAACAGAGGCCACGUUCAGACGUCACGAGAGCUGCUCUACGGAGCUUCUGCUUCUGGCCCGACUGCACAGGAGCCACGUCUGGACCACGGUUCUGAGUGACAGCUACAGGAACCAGCAUCAUCAUCGUCA